rnacentral:lncRNA from 1 species
GGAAUACAACAAAUUACUAAAUUUGCAAGAAGCAAGAUACAAACUCCAUGCUAUUGUCAUUUAUCCAUAUUAAUAACAUCAAUUCAAAUAGAAAAGCCCCAAAAAAUUUGAGAUUCCAAAUUCAAGCUCAUAUAAUGAAUGCUGUGAUAAUAGCUAUUGAUAUAAUAUUUGAUGUUUAUACAUUAUUUUAUAUAGAAAGAAAGAAAGAAACUUGAAUAGGUGCUCUCCUCUACUGAUGAAACUUGUAUAGGUGCUCUCAUCUACUGAUGAAAGUUGGAAAAGUGUGGGCCAUUAAACCAAGUUGCCAACUUCACAAACAAGGCCUCAUAGUAUAGCAAGAUAUUGCCAUCAAUCUUUUUGCACUAAUAAACCUCUUGGUUGAUAGAAAAUAUUAUUCACAUUCAUGAGGACCGAUUUUCAUUAUUCCGUUCUGCAUCAUCUUCUAGAUGAUCCUCAUCUUCAUUGGGAAUGUCUUCGCUGUAAUCAUCUAAUGAACCAACAGGAAAAACGAUGUCACCUUAAGAAAUUUAAUGGAUUUAGUUCAAUCAACGUGGACGAGGCAAAGUUAUAGCAUUACGUAUGAUAUGCACAAAGCUCAAAACAUUAGGCGUAUUCAAUGUUCUACCUUGGUUGAAAGCAAAUGAUCAACUAUCUAUCCCAUUAAACUAUAUUGGAGAGCAUCAGCACCAUAUUAAACACGAGAAGCAAAAGGUAUUCCUAGAUUCAUGUAUACUCUAGGUUUGACUGCAUCACAAUGAAGAUUAACAAAAAGCUGCUAAGUACAGUUUAAAGGGACAAGGCAUCAAAACUGAGUGGGACAAGGUAAAUAAAAAACUCUUUACCCUUUUGAGGC